AGUUUGAUCAUGGCUCAGGAUGAACGCUGGCGGCGUGCCUAAUACAUGCAAGUCGAACGCACAGCGAAAGGUGCUUGCACCUUUCAAGUGAGUGGCGAACGGGUGAGUAACACGUGGACAACCUGCCUCAAGGCUGGGGAUAACAUUUGGAAACAGAUGCUAAUACCGAAUAAAACUCAGUGUCGCAUGACACAAAGUUAAAAGGCGCUUUGGCGUCACCUAGAGAUGGAUCCGCGGUGCAUUAGUUAGUUGGUGGGGUAAAGGCCUACCAAGACAAUGAUGCAUAGCCGAGUUGAGAGACUGAUCGGCCACAUUGGGACUGAGACACGGCCCAAACUCCUACGGGAGGCUGCAGUAGGGAAUCUUCCACAAUGGGCGAAAGCCUGAUGGAGCAACGCCGCGUGUGUGAUGAAGGCUUUCGGGUCGUAAAGCACUGUUGUAUGGGAAGAACAGCUAGAAUAGGGAAUGAUUUUAGUUUGACGGUACCAUACCAGAAAGGGACGGCUAAAUACGUGCCAGCAGCCGCGGUAAUACGUAUGUCCCGAGCGUUAUCCGGAUUUAUUGGGCGUAAAGCGAGCGCAGACGGUUGAUUAAGUCUGAUGUGAAAGCCCGGAG
rnacentral:rRNA from 1 species